AGACGAAAUGCUUAACGGCAUUCCUUCCGGCGUUACGUUUUGAGUUCAAUUCCGUUGACGUUAACUUCAUCUUUCGUCCUUUCGGCGUCGAUAAAAUAAGCACAAUUUAAUACUGUGAUCGAUGUAAUCGACUUAACAUCUUUAAAAUUGCUGACCUUGUGCCAAACUUAGAAACCAAGGUUUAGAGUGUCCAAAGAUGAAACCACUAGCCAAUAUGAGAUUGGUUGAUGGAAUGUAAUUUAUAAAGCGACAAAAGGAAGCUGAAUUAUUGGCGCAUACCAGAGGGAAUUUCAUGAGCACGAACGGAAAUCCAUGAGUGAAACAAUUAAAAGAAGAAGAAAAUGCUCAAGAGAUAUUUGGGCGAUAAACCGAGCAGGAAAUCAGUUCACCGUUUAUUUAUAUUUUUAGUUGUGGAAUCUACUUUAAUAACUAUGAUUUGCCAACCAUAAAUACAUACAAAUAAUGUGUUUAGAGCUGUAAAUAGAAAGCUCGCGCGCGGUUGGGUGCGCAUGUCUACGUUUGAAUGUGUCUAUGUAUGUGUGUGUGUGCGUGCGUGUGUGUGAGUGUAUAUUUGUGUAUAUAUACAUAUAUAUUUGUGUAUAUGAGUUUGUAUGUGUGUAUGUAUAUACACACACACACACACACAUAUAUAUUUUUUUAUAUAUAUAGGCGCAGGCGUGGUAAGAAGCUUGCUUACCAACCACAUGGUUCCGGGUUCAGUCCCAUUGUGUGGCACCUACUAUAGCCUCGGACCGACCAAGGCCUUGUGAGUGGAUUUGGCUAACGGAAACUGAAAGAAGUUUGUCGUAUAUAUGUAUGUACGUAUGUAUUUAAGUGUCUGUGUGUCCCUGUGUCUGUGUUUCCCCGCCCCCCAUCGUCACUUGACAACCGGUGUUGGUGUGUUUACGUCUCCGUAACUUAACGGUUCAUAAAGAGAAACCGAUAGGAUAAGUACAAGGUUUAAAAAAGUCCUGGGGUCGAUUUGUUCGACUAAAAUCCUUCAAGGCGGUGCUCCAAAAUGGCC